AGCGAACGCUGGCGGCAGGCUUAACACAUGCAAGUCGAGCGGGCACCUUCGGGUGUCAGCGGCAGACGGGUGAGUAACACGUGGGAACGUACCCUUUGGUUCGGAACAACUCUGGGAAACUGGAGCUAAUACCGGAUACGCCCUUAUGGGGAAAGGUUUACCGCCGAAGGAUCGGCCCGCGUCUGAUUAGCUAGUUGGUGAGGUAACGGCCCACCAAGGCGACGAUCAGUAGCUGGUCUGAGAGGAUGAUCAGCCACACUGGGACUGAGACACGGCCCAGACUCCUACGGGAGGCAGCAGUGGGGAAUAUUGGACAAUGGGCACAAGCCUGAUCCAGCCAUGCCGCGUGAGUGAUGAAGGCCUUAGGGUUGUAAAGCUCUUUUGUCCGGGACGAUAAUGACGGUACCGGAAGAAUAAGCCCCGGCUAACUUCGUGCCAGCAGCCGCCGUAAG
rnacentral:rRNA from 1 species